GACGUAGGGCGCGAGCGUUGUCCGGAUUUAUUGGGCGUAAAGAGCUCGUAGGCGGCUUGUCGCGUCGGCUGUGAAAACCCGCGGCUCAACUGUGGGCGGGCAGCUGAUACGGGCAGGCUAGGAGUUCGGUAGGGGAGACUGGAAUUCCUGGUGUAGCGUGAAAUGCGCAGAUAUCAGGAGGAACACCAGUGGCGAAGGCAGGCACU
rnacentral:rRNA from 1 species